rfam:Myotis lucifugus cont2.1024, whole genome shotgun sequence.
GGUGGUUCCCGGGUGAUGCACCCUGGAAUCGGGCUCCUUCCUCUCUGGUUCUGGGUGCAUCACCCAAGAACAGCA